rnacentral:misc_RNA from 1 species
UUUCCGUAGGUGAACCUGCGGAAGGAUCAUUAUUGAAUAAACUAGGUUGGGUUGUUUCUGACUCCUCGGAGCGUGUGCACGCUCGCUCCAUUUUUAACCACCUGUGCACCUUGUGUAGUUCGGAACAACUCUCGGGGAAACUCGGUCCGAGCAUUGCUGUGUUUAAAAGCCAGCUUUUCUUGGGUUCAGAUAUAUGUCUCUAUAUACACCAUAAGAAUGUAUUGGAAUGUAAUUGACAGGCGUUACAGCCUUUAAAAAUCAAAUACAACUUUCAACAACGGAUCUCUUGGUUCUG